rnacentral:rRNA from 1 species
CGCAUCUGUGCAUGCAGCAUAUCAAUAAGCGGAGGAAAAGAAACUAACAAGGAUUCCCUCAGUAACGGCGAGUGAAGCGGGAAGAGCUCAAAUUUGAAAUCUUGAAAGGUCACCUUUCACGAAUUGUAGUUUAAAGCAGUGUUUUCUGUUACGAUCGUAAUAUAAGUUCUUUGGAAUAGGACAUCACAGAGGGUGAGAAUCCCGUCUAUGAUUGCGAUUUGUAGCUUUGUGAUACACUUUCAAAGAGUCGGGUUGUUUGGGAAUGCAGCCCAAAACGGGAGGUAAAUUUCUUCUAAGGCUAAAUAUUGGCGAGAGACCGAUAGCGAACAAGUACCGUGAGGGAAAGAUGAAAAGAACUUUGAAAAGAGAGUUAAAUAGUACGUGAAAUUGUCAAAAGGGAAGCGUUUAACACCAGUGUUGUUUUCUGAAAAUCAACCUCUGUUAGCUUUAUGCAUGUUUGUUUAGACCUAAUCAGCUAUCUUGCAUGUUCUAUUGUUUGCAGUGGUGCACUUUUCAGUUUACAGGUCAACAUCAGUUUUUUUUACCGUAAAAAAGUUAAAGAAAGGUAGCUCAUGGCUCCGGUCGUGAGUGUUAUAGUCUUUUUCCUAUGCGGUAGGAGAGACUGAGGUCUGCAGUGUAGGCUAUUUGGCUAGAUACUCAGGUGCUAUGUGAUACCAUUUCAUAAACAGCUUGUUGAUUAUGUUUUGUCUAUUGCAUACUCGCUUGUACUAUCAUACCUACGCUUAGGAUGUUGACGAUCAGCUGAGCGCG